GUGAAUCAUCGAAUUUUUGAACGCAAAUUGCACUCUCUUCGGAGAGUAUGCCUGUUUGAGGGUCAGUCUAUAAAAAAUUGACAUUGUUGCUGCUUCGUGGCGGCGCUCGUCGGAAAUCGGCUUAUUUUAAAUCCUUUUGGUUUUUAAGUGAAUUAAAAUUUUCUUUCUGGUUUUAUGUAUGCAUCUAAGAUUUAUUUUUUUACACGUUCAUGGUAUCGAUUAUUAUUAGACGUGACCAUCAUUCC
rnacentral:misc_RNA from 1 species